GGGGAAAGGAGCAUUUAUUCCCAGUGGGUAAAGAGAGGAAGGCUGAAAUUAAGGAUUUUCUCCAGUGAUAGCACUCCCCAGGUGGCAAACCCCACCUCUGAGUUUCCAGUAAACCUACUAGAACUACAAAGCAAACAAAUCAAGAAAUGUCAAGGGAUUCAAGCCGGGUACGCUAUGUUGCACCAUUUCGGCAUUGCUAACAGAAGGGCUGAGGCUGCAGCUAUCACGUCACGUUUUCGGCAGAAACCUCUAAGUCUCGGCGACUUCCUCCGAGGACGCUGAACCAAACACCGUCCAGACCCGCGAGUGAACGAGUUGCAAAUGACAUCGCCGGUUCGAAAGGGCGCGUGGGCACAGCGUGGGCGAAUGUUCCCUGCGCUGGGUGUUUUCUAAAGUCUCGAUUGCUCCUGGACCAUCUCUUUGUCUGCUGAGUAUCAUCUCUGGUAUUUGUUUAACCAGCCAUGCCCUGCCAGGUGAGAGCCGCCAUCCUCUGACUGAUGGGUGUGAGUUCUCCCCCUGCUCC